rnacentral:lncRNA from 1 species
GCGGGAUUUGGGGGUCAGGGGUGUAAUCCCGAGAAUGCGGUGAAACCAGGCCGAGGCCUGGAGGCAGCUGUGGUAGCCCAGGGCAGGGUGGAAGGCAGUGGACUGGGACUGGGCCAGGGCGACAGGCUCGAGGACCCAGGCCACACGGGCACCCUGGGAGGUGGGGCGCAGUGUCACAUGACGCAGAACAUGAAUCACAGGCCCAGGGCUCACAGUAAGCACAUGGACAAGGGGGCACAGACUCACAGGCCAGAUGGACAUCCAGCCAACACCGGGCCAGACAAGUGGACACAGGGCCGCUGUCACAUACAGACCACGGGGCGACAUGGCCCUAGGGGACACACAGACUUGACGUCAUAAUGCACAAGGCAGGUCACAGAGCUCGAGGGACCUGGGCAGGGGCCGCUUGGCAUUUCUGCACUGGAAUCCUGUGAGACAAGGGUGGUGGCCGCUCUGGAGGUGCCUGGGGCGGUCCCCUCAAGGCCCUUCCGGGCUUACUCCGUCUUCCACACUGUUGAGCAGCUUUCCUACCUCAUGGCAGAGGAUAAACACUGUGGUCACAUCCAGGCAGACCCGGCCCAGGCCCCGCAUCCGGGUCUCGAUCCCGUGCAGUGGAGCGUUUCCCAAGACACU